ACCAUAUUCUCCUGAUGAUGAUGAAAGAGAUUCUGAAACAUUAUGGAGUCGACUUCGAAUUAAGAAAGAUGACGUUAAUGAAUGGACUGUCCGCUGUCGUAAGUGGUUAGCUCAGACUGUCAUAAUUCCAAUAUCAAAAGAAAUUCACUCGAUGAACAAGAAACUGGAAGGAAUAGGCUCAAAGAAAUUAAUUGGAAUUGCUAGUGUAGCCCAGUUGCAGGAUGAAGCCAUCCUAAGGGGAAUGAUGCUCCCCAGUCUAAGUAUGCUGUUACGCUACCUGAGCCUAUCGACCAGACAGGACUAUCUUGUGAAGAGAAUUCACGGU